GACAGAGGGUGCAAACGUUGUUCGGAAUUACUGGGCGUAAAGCGCGUGUAGGCUGCUCUGCAAGUCGGAUGUGAAAGCCCUGGGCUCAACCUAGGAAGUGCAUUCGAUACUGCAGAGCUGGAGUCCUGGAGAGGAAGGCGGAAUUCUCGGUGUAGAGGUGAAAUUCGUAGAUAUCGAGAGGAACACCGGUGGCGAAGGCGGCCUUCUGGACAGUGACUGACGCUGAGACGCGAAAGCGUGGGGAGCAAACGGG
rnacentral:rRNA from 1 species